AGAGUUUGAUCAUGGCUCAGAACGAACGCUGGCGGCAGGCCUAAUACAUGCAAGUCGAACGCCCCGCAAGGGGAGUGGCAGACGGGUGAGUAACACGUGGGAACAUACCCUUUGGUUCGGAAUAACUCAGGGAAACUUGAGCUAAUACCGGAUAAGUCCGCGAGGAGAAAGAUUCAUCGCCGAAGGAUUGGCCCGCGUCU
rnacentral:rRNA from 1 species